UUUGACCCUCCGUCUUCCUUCUUACCUUUUCUGCUUGGAACAUGGCCUCAAUGAUCAGAUAUGGUGACCAUGAGAGUGAAAGCCACACCCUGAGGCUGAAGGUGAAGAAAAUGCAAGGAGACUGGAGUAUUGAAGGCAUUGUGGAGUGGCUGCACUGGUCCUGAGGUGUCAACCUCAAAAUCUUUACUCAGAAGUUCAAUAGGUCCAUGAAGAGAUUACUGAGUCUGCUAGGUCCUGCUGGUGCAUACCUGCUGAGACAGGGUAGAAGGUCACACAGUUAUCCUCACCAUGCUCCAAGGAGGAAGCCUGCUGUGGCUAAAAUAGAGAAAGAGUAACUCUUCUAUGAGCAUUCUCUGCAGUGAAAAAGAUCACUGGAUUGGAAAUGAAGAGCUGAGUUAUCAUAUCAUCUUUACAAUAAAUUGCUUUGUAACAUAAGGGGAGUUCCUUAUUUUGUUUGUAUUUAAAUUUCCUCAGUAAUUAAAGAAGCAAGUUAAUGCAUAU
rnacentral:lncRNA from 1 species